CAGCGUCUCAUUUUUUUCUCUCUCACGACUUCACUCUCUUUCUCUCACGAUUUCGAAGGAGAAAAAAAAGAGAAACACCAAAUCUCUUCUUAAUCUUCGAUCUCCCUCAUUCAUCUCUAACCUCUGUUUCUUGUAACUCGAUUCCUAAAUUUUCAAAGCCCCAGAUCGAUUCGAAGGAAACUAUCAAAUCGACUCGAACCCUAAACCAUCAAAGUCUCGAAAUUAUGUCUUCUGAAGAUCACAUCGACAUGGACUCUGAGCCAAUUCCUCAAUCAUGAAAUGAUUCUCGGAAUUCAAUAGCACCUUCUCAGUGAUCUUCAUCUUGGAAUGAAAUGGAAUGUAUGCAUCGUUGUUUCUUGCCUUGAUAGGAACCAGAAGUUGAAGCCUUUGGCUUGGUAUUUUGCUAUUUUCAGAAGUUGCACUUAUGACUCUCCUCUUUAUUUCAAUCAGACUUAAAUUUGGAUGUUUUGGGUUAUGUUAUGCUUCUCUUAUGAACUUUUAUUGCUUAGACUUGAAGUAGAAACUGGUUUGUAAUAUUAUUGUCGUUUUUUGUUGGAUUUGGUCUAUUUCGGUUCAAAUUAACCGAAAUAGAAAUCA